AUAUUCUGCCCCACGGGAAAGGAUGAGAAGCUUCGACUAAGGUUCGACUCGAGCGAAGCGAGAGAACGUUGCCGCAGGCAACGGUCCGAAGGGCGAGGCGCUUUAGCGCCGAGUUAUCCUUCCCCCACCACCA
rnacentral:sRNA from 4 species